GGAAUCUGCCUGGUAGUGGGGGAUAACGUCCGGAAACGGGCGCUAAUACCGCAUACGUCCUGAGGGAGAAAGUGGGGGAUCUCCGGACCUCACGCUAUCAGAUGAGCCUAGGUCCGAUUAGCUAGUUGGUGGGGUAAAGGCCUACCAAGGCGACGAUCCGUAACUGGUCUGAGAGGAUGAUCAGUCACACUGGAACUGAGACACGGUCCAGACUCCUACGGGAGGCAGCAGUGGGGAAUAUUGGACAAUGGGCGAAAGCCUGAUCCAGCCAUGCCGCGUGUGUGAAGAAGGUCUUCGGAUUGUAAAGCACUUUAAGUUGGGAGGAAGGGCAGUAAGUUAAUACCUCGCUGUUGUGACGUUACCAACAGAAUAGGCACCGGCUAACUUCGUGCCAGCAGCCGCGGUAAUACGAAGGGUGCAAGCGUUAAUCGGAAUUACUGGGCGUAAAGCGCGCGUAGGUGGUUCAGCAAGUUGGAUGUGAAAUCCCCGGGCUCAACCUGGGAACUGCAUCCAAAACUACUGAGCUAGAGUACGGUAGAGGGUGGUGGAAUUUCCUGUGUAGCGGUGAAAUGCGUAGAUAUAGGAAGGAACACCAGUGGCGAAGGCGACCACCUGGACUGAUACUGACACUGAGGUGCGAAAGCGUGGGGAGCAAACAGGAUUAGAUACCCUGCUAGUCCACGCCGUAAACG
rnacentral:rRNA from 1 species